GACGAACGCUGGCGGCGUGCUUAGCACAUGCAAGUCGAACGGGAUUCAACCAGUGGCAACACUGGGGAAGAUCUAGUGGCGAACGGGUGCGUAACACGUGAGGAACCUACCCCGGUCUCUGGAAUAACAGGUGGAAACACCUGCUAAUACCGGAUGCCGUCGGACCAUCGCAUGGUGGACCGACGAAAGAAUUUCGGAUCGGGACGGCCUCGCGGCCUAUCAGCUUGUUGGUGGGGUAAUGGCCUACCAAGGCAACGACGGGUAGCUGGUCUGAGAGGAUGAUCAGCCACACUGGGACUGAGACACGGCCCAGACUCCUACGGGAGGCAGCAGUGGGGAAUCUUGCGCAAUGGGCGAAAGCCUGACGCAGCAACGCCGCGUGCGGGAUGAAGGCCUUCGGGUUGUAAACCGCUUUCAGCAGGAACGAAACUGACGGUACCUGCAGAAGAAGGUGCGGCCACCUACGUGCCAGCCGCCGCCGUAA
rnacentral:rRNA from 1 species